rnacentral:rRNA from 1 species
GAUGAACGCUGGCGGCGUGCCUAAUACAUGCAAGUCGAGCGAACGGACGAGAAGCUUGCUUCUCUGAUGUUAGCGGCGGACGGGUGAGUAACACGUGGAUAACCUACCUAUAAGACUGGGAUAACUUCGGGAAACCGGAGCUAAUACCGGAUGAUAUUUUGAACCGCAUGGUUCAAAAGUGAAAGACGGUCUUGCUGUCACUUAUAGAUGGACCCGCGCUGCAUGAGCUAGUUGGUAAGGUAACGGCUUACCAAGGCAACGAUGCAUAGCCGACCUGAGAGGGUGAUCAGCGACACUGGAACUGAGACGCGGUCCAGACUCCUACGGGAGGCAGCAGUAGGGAAUCUUCCGCAAUGGGCGAGAGCCUGACGGAGCAACGCCGCGGGAGUGAUGAAGGUCUUCGGAUCGGAAAACUCUGUUAUUAGGGAGAGACAUAUGUGUAAGUAACUGUGCACAUCUUGACGGUACCUGAUCAGAAAGCCACGGCUAACUACGUG